ensembl:snRNA U6 U6 spliceosomal RNA
GUGCUCACUUCGGCAGCAUAUAUACUAAAAUUGGAACGAUACAGAGAUUAGUGUGGCCCCUGCUCAAGGAUGACAUGCAAAUUCAUGAAGAGUUCCAUAUUUUU